rnacentral:rRNA from 1 species
AUUGAACGCUGGCGGCAGGCCUAACACAUGCAAGUCGAGCGGAGCGGCGGACGGGUGAGUAAUGCCUAGGAAUCUGCCUGGUCGUGAGGGAUAAAGUCCGGCAACGGGCGCUAAUACAGCAUACUAUCAGAUGAGCGUAGAUGGGAUUGGCUAGUGGGUGGGGAAAGGGCCUACAAAGGCGACGGUCCGUCACUGGUCUGAGAGGAUGAUCAGUCACACUGGAACUGAGACACGGUCCAGACUCCUACGGGAGGCAGCAGUGGGGAAUAUUGGACAAUGGGCGAAAGCCUGAUCCAGCCAUGCCGCGUGUGUGAAGAAGGUCUUAGGAUUGUAAAGCACUUUAAGUCGGGAGGCGUUACCAACAGAAUAAGCACCGGCUAACUUCGUGCCAGCAGCCGCGGUAAUUC